rnacentral:rRNA from 1 species
UGCAACCGUUGGUUAGCCUGGCAGGAUGCUUUACACUGCAAGUCGACGGCGGCACGGACUUCGGUCGCGGUUUGGCGGGUACCAGCAGAACAGGUGAUAUGUCAUGUCGGAACAUACUAAUGGCCCGGGGGAUAACUACGCGAAGGCGGCAGCUAUAGCCACCGCAGCAACCGCUGGAAAACAGGAACCUUCAGGCUCGCACUGUUGGCGGCAGUCAUCGGAUUAAAGCUGAUUGUUGAGGCCAGCAGCUCACCAAAGGCGACGAUCAUCAGCUGGUUUUGAAGGACGACCAUACUGGGACUGGACACGACUGAGCUCCUGCGGGAGACAGCGGUGAAGGAGAUUUGGAUGUGAAACCUGAUCAAUAUCCCGUGUGCGAUGAGAAGGCCAUGGGUUUAUCGCCUUUUGGCGGGAAAGAAACGGCUGGAUAUGCCCCGACCGCAGCUGACUGGUACCUGCGAGACAAGCGCAACUAACUGGUACUGGCGGCCGCGGUAUGCGUGGGGUGCAGGAAGCGUUGUCAGAAUUACUGGGGCGCAUUAAGCGUGCGCGGGCCGGACAGAAGAAGAUGUGAAGUCCCAAACCAACUUUGCAGAACUGCGCACCUUCUGAGCGGUGUAUGGGGGAGGUGGAAUUCGCGCUCGUAACGGUGAGAGUACGUAGAUAUGCGGAGGAACACCGAUGGCGAAGGCAGCCUCCUGGGAUGCUGCAGCGCUCAUGCACAGCGUGGGGGAGCAAACAGGAUUAGAUACCCUGGUAGUCCACGCCCUAAACGAUGUCAACUAGCUGUUGGGGCCUUCGGGCCUUGGUAGCGCAGCUAACGCGUGAGUUGACCGCCUGGGGAGAAUACGGUCGCAAGAUUAAAACUCAAAGGAAUUGACGGGGACCCGCACAAGCGGUGGAUGAUGUGGAUUAAUUCGAUGCAACGCGAAAAACCUUACCUACCCUUGACAUGUCUAGAAUCCCGAAGAGAUUUGGGAGUGCUCGCAAAGAACCGGAACACAGGUGCUGCAUGGCUGUCGUCAGCUCGUGUCGUGAGAUGUUGGGUUAGAGUCCACGCAACGAGCGCAACCGCGCAUAUUCUGGUUGCUACGAGGCACUCUAAUGAGACUGCCGGUGACAAACCGGAGGAAGGUGGGGAUGACGUCAAGUCCUCAUGGCCCUUAUGGGUAGGGCUUCACACGUCAUACAAUGGUCGGGACAGAGGGUCGCCAACCCGCGAGAGCCAAUCCCAGAAACCCGAUCGUAGUCCGGAUCGCAGUCUGCAACUCGCUGCGUGGAGGUCGGAAUCGCUAGUAAUCGCGGAUCAGCAUGUCGCGGUGAAUACGUUCCCGGGUCUUGUACACACCGCCCGUCACACCAUGGGAGUGGGUUUUACCAGAGAAGUAGUUAGCCUAACCGUAAGGAGGGCGAUUACCACGGUAGGAUUCAUGACUGGGGUGAAGUCGUAACAAGGUAA